AUCCAACUGACGAGUCCCAAGUAGGACGAAACGCGCGUCCUGGAU
rfam:Schistosoma mansoni strain Puerto Rico chromosome W, complete genome